rnacentral:lncRNA from 1 species
GUGGAAAUAGUGGAAAAGUAAUAUCUUUUCAGUACAGAUAAUAAGAGUUUACUUUGUCAAUUAAUGUAAAAAAGAAAAUAAGCUGUGAUUGCCAAUGAGACAACUCUGCACACGAGAUAAAAUGACACAGAAAUUACGAAUAUAGGUCACCGUACGACCUUCAACAAUGAGCAAAACCGCUACCGCAUAGUCAGAUAUAAAAGGCCUUGAAAUGACAAAUGUAAAACAAUAAAAAAAACAAAAAUAAAAAAAAAAAAA